rnacentral:rRNA from 1 species
GUGGGGAAUCUUGCACAAUGGGCGAAAGCCUGAUGCAGCGACGCCGCGUGAGGGAUGACGGCCUUCGGGUUGUAAACCUCUUUCAGCAGGGACGAAGCGAAAGUGACGGUACCUGCAGAAGAAGGACCGGCCAACUACGUGCCAGCAGCCGCGGUAAUACGUAGGGUCCAAGCGUUGUCCGGAAUUAUUGGGCGUAAAGAGCUCGUAGGCGGCCUGUCGCGUCGGCUGUGAAACCCUGGGGCUCAACCCCGGGCCUGCAGCCGAUACGGGCAGGCUAGAAUUCGGUAGGGGAGACUGGAACUCCUGGUGUAGCGGUGAAAUGCGCAGAUAUCAGGAAGAACACCGGUGGCGAAGGCGGGUCUCUGGGCCGAUAUUGACGCUGAGGAGCGAAAGCGUGGGGAGCGAACAGG